UUCUCUUCCUCCCGGCCAAUGGAUUUUCUUACCAGACAUAGAAUUAUAUUCUCGAUUUAAUCCCGAAUAAUGAGCGACCACUUCAAAUCUAUAUGCCAUCCCUGAUAUCGCCACCCUCGGCCAAGGUCUCGUUCAGCGCGAUUCCUAACAAGUAGACACCGUCGUAAAAAGCCCCGACGAAGAAAUUCACCUAUUGGGAAAACGAUUUAUCAUGGCUUGUUAAUGCACGUGAGCGGGUUCAACUAUAAAGUAUUAUUACAAUUGGCUCAC